rnacentral:rRNA from 1 species
AGGGUGCAGGGCGGAUGCCUUGGCACUAGGAGCCGAUGAAGGACGUGAUAAGCUGCGAUAAGCUUCGGGGAGUUGCACGUAAACUUUGAUCCGAAGAUUUCCGAAUGAGGAAACUCACUUAGAGUAAUGUCUAAGUAUCAUUAAGUGAAUACAUAGCUUAAUGAGGGGAACUCAGGGAACUGAAACAUCUAAGUACCUGAAGGAAGAGAAAGAAAUUCGAUUCCGUAAGUAGCGGCGAGCGAACGCGGAUUAGCCCAAACCAAUAAAGUUUUCUUUAUUGGGGUUGCGGACAUAUCAUAACGAAGAGGUAUCGUAAUUGAAGAGGUUUGGAAAGACCCACCACAGAAGGUAAUAGUCCUGUAUGUUAAACGAGAAGACUUUAGAUAUGAUCCAGAGUACCACGGGACACGUGAAACCCUGUGGGAAGCAGGAGGGACCACCCUCCAAGGCUAAAUACUACCUAGUGACCGAUAGCGUAUAGUACCGUGAGGGAAAGGUGAAAAGAACCCCGGGAGGGGAGUGAAAUAGAACCUGAAACCCUGCACUUACAAGCUGUGGAAGCACAUUUCUUGUGUGACCGCGUACUUUUUGUAGAACGGGCCAACGAGUUACGUUAAGUAGCAAGGUUAAGCACUUAAGGUGCGGAGCCGUAGCGAAAGCGAGUUUUAACUGAGCGUUCAGUUACUUGACGUAGACCCGAAACCGGGCGACCUACCCAUGAGCAGGAUGAAGCGAAAGUAAAAUUUCGUGGAGGUCCGAACCCACGAGCGUUGAAAAGCUCGGGGAUGACUUGUGGGUAGCGGUGAAAUUCCAAUCGAGCCCGGAGAUAGCUGGUUCUCCCCGAAAUAGCUUUAGGGCUAGCCUCAAGGUGAGAGAUACGGAGGUAGAGCACUGAAUGUCCUAGGGGGUAUUGCACCUACCGAAGACUAUCAAACUCCGAAUGCCGUCAUCUUAUACUUGGGAGUCAGACUGUGGGUGAUAAGAUUCAUAGUCGAAAGGGCAACAGCCCAGAUCGUCAGCUAAGGUCCCUAAAUGUAAGUUAAGUGGUAAAGGAUGUGGGAUUGCACAGACAACCAGGAUGUUGGCUUAGAAGCAGCCACUCAUUCAAAGAGUGCGUAAUAGCUCACUGGUCGAGUGAUCCUGCGCCGAAGAUUUCCGGGGCUAAAACUUACUACCGAAGCUACGGCAUCAGUAAUGAUGGGUAGGGGAGCUUCCCAUACGGGUUGAAGCAUGACCGUAAGGACAUGUGGACAGUAUGGGAGUGAGAAUGUUGGCAUGAGUAGCGAGAUGUGGGUGAGAAUCCCACAGGCCGUAAACCCAAGGUUUCCAGGGGAAGGUUCGUCCGCCCUGGGUUAGUCGGGACCUAAGCUGAGGCCGAAAGGCGUAGGUGAUGGACAACAGGUUGAUAUUCCUGUACUACCGAUAACCGUUUGAGAGAAGGGAUGACACAGUAGGAUAAGCUAAGCACACUGUUGGUUAUGUGUGCCCAAGCAUUGAGGCAGUCAAAGUAGGCAAAUCCGCUUUGAUAAUGCUGGGAUGUGAUGGGGAGCGAAAUUUAGUAGCGAAGUAGCUGAUUUCACACUGUCAAGAAAAGUCUCUAUCGAGGUUAAAGGUACCCGUACCGCAAACCGACACAGGUGGGUGAGGAGAGUAUCCUAAGGCCAGCGAGAGAACUGUUGUUAAGGAACUCGGCAAAAUGACCCCGUAACUUAGGGAUAAGGGGUGCCACCAUCAGGUGGCCGCAGAGAAUAGGCCCAAGCGACUGUUUACCAAAAACAUAGGUUUCUGCUAAGUCGCAAGACGAUGUAUAGGAGCUGACGCCUGCCCGGUGCUGGAAGGUUAAGGGGAUCUGUUAGAGCAAUCGAAGCAGUGAACUUAAGCCCCAGUAAACGGCGGCCGUAACUAUAACGGUCCUAAGGUAGCGAAAUUCCUUGUCGGGUAAGUUCCGACCCGCACGAAAGGCGUAACGAUUUGGGCACUGUCUCAACAACAGACUCGGUGAAAUUGUAAUUCCGGUGAAGAUGCCGGAUACCUGCGACAGGACGGAAAGACCCCAUGGAGCUUUACUGUAGCUUGACAUUGGGUCUUGGUACUACAUGUACAGGAUAGGUGGGAGGCUUUGAAACCAGGACGCCAGUUUUGGCGGAGCCAUCCUUGGGAUACCACCCUUGUAGUACUGGGACUCUAACCAUAGGCCAUGAAUCUGGUCUUGGGACACUGUCAGGUGGGCAGUUUGACUGGGGCGGUCGCCUCCCAAAAGGUAACGGAGGCGCUCAAAGGUUCUCUCAGUACGGUCGGAAAUCGUACGUAGAGUGUAAAGGCAAAAGAGAGCUUGAUUGCAAGACAUACAGGUCGAGCAAGGAUGAAAAUCGGACUUAGUGAUCCGGUGGUUCUGCGUGGAAGGGCCAUCGCUCAACGGAUAAAAGCUACCCUGGGGAUAACAGGCUUAUCUCCCCCAAGAGUCCACAUCGACGGGGAGGUUUGGCACCUCGAUGUCGGCUCAUCACAUCCUGGGGCUGUAGU